AGAAAUUAGAGUGCUCAAAGCAAGCCCAAGCUCUGGAUACAUUAGCAUGGGAGGAUUUCGGUCCUAUUGCGUUGGCGUUCGGUUUCGGAUGUAAUGAUUAAAAGGGACAGUCGGUUACUUCAUAGUCAGAGGUGUAAUUCUUGGAUUUAUGAAAGACGAACCACUGCGACUGCAUUUGCCAAGGAUGUUUUCAUUAAUCAAGAACCGAAAAGUUGGGGCUCGAAGACAGUCAGAUACCGUCCUAGUCUCAACCAAUAAACGAUGCCGAC
rnacentral:rRNA from 1 species